rnacentral:rRNA from 1 species
GAUUAUGGCUCAGGACGAACGCUGGCGGCGUGCUUCAUACAUGCAAGUCGAACGAGAAGUCACCUUCGGGUGAUGGAAAGUGGCGGACGGGUGAGUAAUGUGUAGAGAAUCUGCCCUUAAGUGGGGGACAACAGUUGGAAACGACUGCUAAUACCCCAUAUGCGCGUAGUUGAGAUACUAUUCGUGAAAGAUUUAUUGCUUAAGGAUGAGUCUGCAUCUGAUUAGCUAGUUGGGGUGUAAUGGACCACCAAGGCGACGAUCAGUAGCUGGUUUGAGAGGAUGAUCAGCCACAAUGGGACUGAGACACGGCCCAUACCCCUACGGGAGGCAGCAGUAGGGAAUUUUGCGCAAUGGGCGAAAGCCUGACGCAGCCAACGCCGCGUGAUCGCAGACGGCCUUCGGGUUGUAAAGAUCUGUCAGUAGGGACGAAAGAUGACUGUACCUACAGAGGAAGCACCGGCUAACUCCGUGCCAGCCGCUGC